rnacentral:rRNA from 1 species
AUUGAACGCUGGCGGCAUGCUUUACACAUGCAAGUCGAACGAGUGGCGGACGGGUGAGUAAUAUCUCGGAAAGUGCCUGAUGAUGGGGGAUAACUACUGGAAACAUUAGCUAAUACCGCAUAUUAUUAGAUGUGCCAAGAUGUGAUUAGCUGGUUGGUGGGGUAACGGCGCACCACGGCGACGAUCACUAGCUGGUCUGAGAGGAUGACCAGCCACACUGGAAAUGAGAAACGGCCCAGACUCCUACGGGAGGCAGCAGUGGGGAAUUUUGGACAAUGGGCGCAAGCCUGAUGCAGCCAUGCCGCGUGUAUGAAGAAGGCCUUCGGGUUGUAAAGGACUUUCAGCGGGGAAGCGUUACCCGCAGAAGAAGCACCGGCUAACUCCGUGCCAGCAGCCGCGGUAAUUC